UUUGUUUUGGGUGACAUAACCCUUGGAUUUGUUGAUUUAUUUGUGUGCUAGAGAACACAAAGACUUUCUUUAUUUUUGAGCAGGUAAGUGCCCUUGGCCUGUGUUUGUGCUUGUUUGUUUUAAUGGUCUGUAUGCUGUUUUUGACUGUCAUUUGUGUUCUCUUGUAGGUGCUUUGUUUUGGGUGACAUAACCCUUGGAUUUGUUGAUUUAUUUGUGUGCUAGAGAACACAAAGACUUUCUUUAUUUUUGAGCAGGUAAGUGCCCUUGGCCUGUGUUUGUGCUUGUUUGUUUUAAUGGUCUGUAUGCUGUUUUUGACUGUCAUUUGUGUUCUCUUGUAGGUGCUUUGUUUUGGGUGACAUAACCCUUGGAUUUGUUGAUUUAUUUGUGUGCUAGAGAACACAAAGACUUUCUUUAUUUUUGAGCAGAAAAAAUGUACGCUCCUGCAAUCCUUUCCCUGAAUGCCAAGUUUACUGGAAGUUCACAUGAUGCAUAUGUCAUUAGACAAUCAGGGAUAUGGCAGAGAUUAAGAUCAAGUCAACGAGCAGACAUGUGGUUAUUGGGAGACCGUGGAUAUCCUUGCACCCCCUGGCUCAUGACUCCUUACCGUAAUCCCAGGCCAGGACCACAGAUGGCAU